GGAGAGGAGGAGCCAGAAAGGAAUGAAGAGGAGGGUAGAGGAAGGGAAGGAAGGGAAGGGAAAGAGAGAAGGGAAGAAGUAGGGGAGGGGAGGAGACAGGGGUAAACUCAGAGGAAAACACAACCAAAAUGUCGAGGGUUACUAUUCUCUGGCUAACUUAUUUUGCCUCCUUUUCAAUUGCCUGUCUUCCAAAAUGUCACCAAUUUUUUUUUAAAUCACUUUUAUAAUAAAUCCACUUUUUAUCAAAAUUCUAUUUAAGUCGUUCUGAAAUGUUUUCUCAUAACAUUCCAAGUCCUAUUUUAGGUGAGUCGAGAAGACACUGGUGCUAGGUGAUGUCUAUAUGGUGCCCACAUGUUCCAGAGCCAAUACUGGAACACAUGAUCCACAAGUUCCCAAAUGCUCAGAAAAGAUAUGGAACGGAGUAGCUGGAUUCUGGGCAAGACCCCCACAUCUGAGGAACAGGCAUGCCCCUCGAGAAAGAAAGUAGUACCCCUGGGGGCUGUGGGAUCCCUUGGGACGAUGGGCCAGUCUCACCCUGAGGUCGGCUGCUCUGAAAGGCCCAUGGCAAGGAUGGAGAGAGGGAGACGUUAAGGAAGAAGACACCCUACCCGGGUCCGAUCUUCCUUCCAACCUACUUUGCGUCCCCAAGGCUGAACUCAUUCUGCUUUUAGGAAAUCACUCUCAUCCCAGAGGAGGAGCUGGAUUUUCCAAGUAAAGACAGACCCUCCAGUCCCCACCCCACCCUCCCUUCUCCCCUCUGCCCAGGUGCUACACCUGUGGACCCCACUGUCCCAAGCACGAGCACCUGUGGCCACGAACGCCCUGCCCAGGGGGAAAGAAAGCGGCCUCAGGAGAGCCCUAGGGGCCGGCACCCUCUCUGGGCCUCUGGCUGCAGCGGGACCUCCAGGCAGCAGGCCCUGGUUGGAACGUGGCCUCCCGGGCUGGGACCGAGAGCCAGCACCGGGUAGCGACGCAGCACUGUGCACAGCACUCGGGGCUUUGGACCUGGGCACGUCCACUACCAUACUUCGGGUUCCUAGCUUGUGGAGCAGAAAGGAUACCAGAAGCUACUUGAGUGGUGCCGAACACAUGAACACAUUAGUGCUGAUGACACGCCCACUUUGCAGCGCCCCGAUGAGGCGGGUGCCACUGCGCCCCUUUUACAGAUGAGCAGAGGGGCUCGUGGGGAGGUCAGAGCAGUGCCCCCGAGGUCCCGUGGCUGGUAAAUAUUAGAACCAGGACUCGAGUCUGGCUCCAGAGCCUGAGCUCGCAAGACGGCGUCUAGAAGCUGUUUAAAGCACGACCAAUAGCAGCUGAUGCUCUGGUGUUGCAGAUGUUUUAGUAAAGCAGAGGGUGGCCAAGGUGGGGCUCUGUGUGCCAACCGCUUCCUUCUACUCUACCAGCCUUCCAAGACAGAAGCAUGUCUGGACCGUUCACCUCCGUGGCCCAGCAGACCCCCCAUCGUGCCUUGUGGCUCCCUGAACACCCGUUGCACAGGUAAUACAAUGACACAUUUAUCAGGCACCCACCACAUGCACCUUAUCUCAUUCAAAUCUCUCUCUCCCUCCCUCCCCCACCCCUCACACACACACACACACACACACACACACACACACACACACACAUACACGGUGUGGGCAGCUGAGAACUGCCUCAGCCAAAGGGUCCAAGCUAGGUGCUGGGCAUCCCCAGGCUGGCCUGCCUGACCUUACAGCCUCUCCACAAGCGAGGGGUGAACGUGGAGGGAUCCUCGAGGCAGAGCAAUGUGCCCCUGGGGUAGCUUUCAAAUGAAAAUGAGAUGAUCCCAUUUCUAUAGCAUACAACUCCGUUGUUCUUCACUUUCUAUUCCAUAACGUGCCCAGCAAUUAUUUCCACGGAUAGUGAUUCCAAGUAAAAGGAGAGAAAAGUACACAGCUGCCCUCCAAGACCUCGAGGGACUUGGGAGGGAGAGUGAGGGCAUCAGAAAACAAGGGCUGAUGUCAAGGCCAGCUGAAUCAAUAAUGGUCUCACAUCUUAUAGUGAGAGAGUCAUUAUAAAGAAAAACAACGCUAUCUCAAAACAGUGGCAAUGUCAAAGCACAACCCUACUACAUCUUUGAUUUCCAAAAAAAAAAAAAAAAAAAAAAAAAGGAGACUGGGAAGAUCCCUUGUGAACCCGACUCCAAUCUAGCAAACGGUCCAUCCUAACGGCACAGGCACCCAGAGCGGGCUCGUCAUCACGGGUGGGCGUCCGCUGGUCUCCCCGCCAUUGGUUCUCACGUUGCACAACAACGCUCACAACAAGGAUGGAGACCACACACACAGUUUUCCCCGAUGGGCAGCCGGUGUCAGUCCCCCAGACUGGGCCCACCCGCUGCCGACGUCUGCUGCGUCCAGGUCAGGAUUUCAGCAGAGGGUCCCGGCCCCCAGCCUGUUCCCCUUCUCUUGCAUCCCCGCCUGGUCCGCAUCGUGAGGGGCCCUGUGCACACCUGUGGACACUGCAGCCUGCACACCCCCAUCCCUAGCUGCUCAGCCAAGGUGUAGGCACACCAGGGGCCCAGGCAGGACGCCCGGAAGCCAGGGACAUUCAGGCAGAGAAUUCAACCGUGAGAUCCGAAAAGGGAAGGUCAUGGGCCCGUGAAGAGGCCACAGACAGAAGGGGGCCUUCCAGAGUGUGGGGUGCCUAUUGGGAAGUGUGCCUUUCAGUGUUCUUGACCCAGAGCUCAGACGUCUUAGGCCAUCCCGCGAGUAAGCUGCAAUGGCCUCUGAAGAGAAGCUCCCUGCCUCCUUCCCUCAGGGGAAAGUGCUAGAGAGCCCAGGAGACUCACAGCCCAAGAUCUGUCCCCUUUAACCAGCAGACCCCGCAGUGACAAGACCUUCCUGAUCCUGGUCCUCUAGAAGACCAAGACCAUCCCCAGGCUCCCCACGUGGUUGGCCGCACUCCCAGGCUGUUAAGGCACUAGGCCAACAGGACACUUGUUUUCCAACGGGGAUCCCGGGAGGAGGAGGUGUGGCUCUGGAUGGGAACAGCCCAGGGUCCGUGGGAAGGACAGCGGAACCCCAAGUGGGUUCCAGGAAGGACAGCUGCAGAAAGGACUCUCCAAAGAACUGAACAAGAGAGUGGAUGCAAACGCACCUGGCCCACAGGAGGGACUCGAACGCCUCUGGUGACGUGGCUGGCAGCAGCGACAUCGUCUUGAGUGACUCUGUGCCAGGCACCUGCAGCGUGCGCUUUGCGAGAUCAUUCCUUUGAUCACAACAAUCAGAGGAGCUUUGCUCUCAUAUGGCCGUUGAGAGGAGUGAGGCCAGGAUCCCCCAGCUGGUCAGCAGCCAGGCCAGGAAUCGCACUCGGGUCCGUCCGUCUGCCUCCCAAUCCUCCUUCCCAGUCCCCACCCCCCCGCCACACCAUGCUCAACGCCUCAGCUGGUCUUCCUGCAGACUCUGAGGAGAACCCCCCACACGCCUACCUGCCCCCAGCUCCCAGGACAGGCUGGAGGUUAAACAACGCGGCCAAGACUCCAGGCCCCCUGCUUUGCCAACACCCUAGAGCUCUCUGUGCUCCUGUCCUGUGUGCAAAGCUCCCAGAAAGCCCAUCCCCAGGAGGACGGAGCUUGCAGAUAAGCCAACCAACCACACCCAGAAAAGACCCAACAGUGUCUCACCUCAGCACGUUUUUUUUAAGUUUAUUUAUUUUGAGAGAUACGGAGACCAUGCGAGUGGGGGAGGGCAGAGAGAGAGGAGAGAGAGAGUCCCAAGCAGGCUCCACACUGUCAGUGCAGAGCCAGACGCGGGGCUCGAACCCGUGAACCUGUGAGAUCAUGACCUGAGCCAAAACCAAGAGCCUGAUGUUUAACCGACCGAGCCACCCGGGCGCCCUUCACCUCACCAGGCGCACAUUUUGAGUAUACUUUACAAGGAGACCCACAGCCAGCUACUUGGUGGACCAAAGACUCGGGUAACAAUAUAGGGUAUGGCUCACAACCACCUGAGUCUGUCUGGUUCCCCAAAAUCAUGCAAAAUAGACCCUGUUUUCACUACUGUGUGUGUCUGCCCUUGAGUCCACAUCAAGUGCUCUUGAAUUCACUCAUAAAAUCACAAGAACGUUUCAAGAUGCCAGCACCACCAGGCCCAAGGUCAGCCCUGGCCCCCACCUGUUUCAGCAGGAGCCAUUUGGGGGCUUCCUGGGGGAGACCCUUUGUCUGCACUGGGUGAAGGGGGGGCUGCAGCAGACACCUCCCCAGGCCCCAGAGCUCACUCACCCCUGGCCCUGGUGGUUUCACAGGAUGAAACCACCUAAUUGCCUAAGACAAGACCUAACCCCGAGCCCUCAGAAGACACAGGGAACUGCUAGUGGGGAGAAAUGUAUGGAACACUGGGUCCUGCAAAUUCACGGUUCCGGGGCCCUGGGAAGAGGUGUGCAGGGGGGAAGUGGCUGCAGGUGGCUCUAUCAGGGAGUACUGCCCGGUGCCGAGUCCCCUCCCCUGCCCUGCCCUCCCCUUUUCUCCAACUCCUUUCCCUCCCCUUCCCUCCUGCCCUCCCCUUCCCUCUUCAGGAAAUGACACCACCAAUGUCCACUCUGCUGACAUGGUUGCCACAGUCUCACCGCAGGUCUGGGGCAUGGGCACACCCCAUGAUCCUCUCCCCCUGAUCGCACUUAAAUGGUAUCCAAACACAGGAAUCCCACUGAACAGGGCAGGGAGGGGCGACAAGACUUUCAGGGACAAUGUGCCAAUUCCUUACAACACGUCAUUUUGCAACAACGCCCCAAACUUUCCCGCACAGCCCCCCCCCGCCCCGGCCACAACGUGAGAACAGCCAUAUAAUGACUACGUUCAGGACAGCACACAUGGGCGGUAGAGGGAAGGGGUUGAUAAUGAUGAGUCUCCUUUCCCUUCAUGCUUUCUGUAGGUACCGACGGCACACUGGGAAGGGCGGGUUUGCUUUGUGUAGAAGGGGGCGCACUGCGGGGGUUGAUCCCCAACUGAAUCCCCCAAAAUAGAAGGUUAGGUGAGGUGGCGGCCAACCCUGGGGGCCUCCUGCCGACUCUGGAACACGCCUCCUCUCCGCACCCCCAGCCCGGCCCCUCCCUGGGUGCCCACAGGACCCUACCCCACAGGAGACCCUCCGCCACGGCCACCUUCCCUGCAGCCCUGCUGGGAGAAAGAACCGCCCCGGACGACUGCAGCUGCAAGAGACGUGAAGAGCAGGGCAGACCGCCCCCCCACCCAGCUUCUCCAGAACGUCUAAGGACACCACGUGAGGACAGAAGCAAAUAGCCAGCUUUCCUUCCCGGCGCUCGCUCGGGCGGGCGGACCCAGCCUGGACUUGGCCCGUUCCUGCCCCUCCAAGCCAGAGCCCGCAGCGCUGCAGCUCUGGAAUUUGGAAGGUCAUUCCUGGCGGCCACGCCUGCCAGGCCCGGUGGAAGGCACCUGGAAGGCGGCACCGGGGUUUCUGUGUAAGGCGGAAGAAUCCGGCUUCCCCGCACAGGGUUCCAGUCCCAAGGUUCAGAGGGCACACAGCUGCUAGGCGCCGGUCCCACUGAGUCACCGCUCUGGCCCCCGAGCACCCUGUGGGGGGAGAGGUAAAGCAGGCCCGCCCCAGGGACAAACAGGGCGGAGAAGAGCAGGAGGAAAGUCAACAAAGGACGUGCAAAAGAGGGAACAGAGGCACAGCUGGUUGUACAGGCAGGCUCUGCACCACGCCCUUGCCCCAGCAGUCUCCCCAGACACCCCCCUCUCUCCUGCAGAGGCCAUCGCACCGUCCCGACAGCCAGGGCCUGGGGAACCCGUGGACCCCGCAGCACUGACGGCCCUUCUCCGGAAACUGAAUAACCUGAGAACAGGCGAGUCAGAAACGGCUACGGAGUUUUCACCCACAGCGGUGGUACAGGCCAUAAGCAGGCAAAGUGCACGAACCCUGCAGAAUGCCAGAAAAGAGGGGAUAGAAAACGCAAAACCCCUCUCCAGAGAGAACAGAAUCCCAGAGCCCCAAAGGCACUGCUCAAGCAGCUAAUCUCAACCUCGGGAAAAGAGCAAGACGGAAGGUCUCCAUCCUCCGGAGAGGUCAGCCCAAGGCCCUGUUUCCGGAAGCCAGCACAUGUCUGGGCACACAGCUCUGAAACGAGCCAGCCCCCCAAAACCCCUGAUCCACACCUUCAGGAGGGGCCUUCCUGCUGUCACCUGCUGGGUCCCGGUGGGUGUCCGGUCCAGCCUGGCCUAGAACAACUUCAAACGUGGUCCCCGACACUGUGCCUUUUUCAGGCAACCAAAUCCCCAUCCCUCUGAAUCACCACGGUGAUUUUCUAAAAUUACACUUCCAAGCCCCAACAGUGUAGAACAGGGCAGAGAAACACACGAAGGAUGUUACUAACCAAAGGCUGCCUCGUGCUGUCUUUUCCUCCCAGAAAGGGAGAAGUUAUUUCACAUGUGCACACGCGUGUGCACACACAUGUACGCAUACACGCACAUACAUAUAGGUUUUUCCCUGAUACACAAAAUUCUUUGUGAACUAGCUAUGUCUAAUUCUGCUGGACCCUUUGUUUGAAAAAGGAGAGAAAAGGAGCCACAAACACCAGUAUAUUUCUGCUAGGGCUGGCUGGCUCUAAACAUUUCAACUUUGAACUUUCACAUAGCUGUCACCAAAGGCCAGAACUUGGCCAAGCCCAAAAGACCACUGAAGGGUCAGACGUCUAGAAUGUCGUAGAUCCAGGAGAGCAGAAUAUCAGAAAUUAGAAGCUGAAUAUCCUCUAGGCUUUUUUUUUUUUUAGGUUCCUGUUAACUUCUGAUCUCUUUACUUUUGUGAACAGUUGCCUUAAAGUUACUUUUUUUAAGUCAAAAUGUUUCUAUCCCUUGCCCCGUAGCAAGGCAAAAACCCUCUUGAGGAAGACAGGGUGACAUUUUAAAGGGGCAUCCAGAGGGUGGUAGAGGCGACUCUCCUGCAGUGAUAUUCUGAGCUGAUGUGCGACACACACAACUGUGCCAGCGUUUCAUAGUGUUUGUUUUGGUUUCAACAUCUCAGACAAGACAGCUUCCAGAUCCUUCACAUCCCAGGCUGCAGCUGACCAACGUUCCACAGGAUGCUAACAUGCUGGAUAUAGAUUUUACCUAAAAGAAAAAGAAGAACCAGUCAAUGCCCUCGGCAGAACCCUGCAUCCAUUCUGACCCUCACAGUCUCCAUCCCAUAGGCCACACUCACCCAACCACAGGACCUUUGAACAUGCUAUCUGGAAGGUAACUCCUUCCGUCCCUUCAGCUCCUCGCUCAGGAUCCUAGCUCCCCAUGCAGACCCCCUAGUACAGAGCUGCUUUUCUCCUUGUACUUCUCCUUCCUAGCAGUGCUACUGGUGUUUACUCCAGGGCUCCACAAAAUGUUUCUGUCGAAAUCCAGACAGUAAACAUUUUCAACUUUGUGGGCCCUACAUUCUCUGUGGCAACUACUCAACUCCACCCCUGUGGAACAAAAGCCACUGUGGAUAAUAGGAACAUGCUUGAGCAUGGCUGUGUUCCAAUAAAACUUUAUUUGUGGACACUGAGA